CGGCAGGUCACCCGGUGGCCGUGGUCUCGGGAUGACACCCGAAGGAAAACACUCCUGGAUGCAGCCGAGCCUUUGAACGGGGCGUUCUGGGGCGGUGCAGCCACAUCUUCCAGCCUGUGCAAGUUUUGAAAGUCUGACAAGUUGACCGCGGGGUUGCUGCUGAUGCUGACACACGUCAAGUUUAAGGCGUCGCCUGGGCGCAGGGCCGAUGAGUUGGCCAGGAUAGUCAGCUGCGUGGACGCGCUGAGCUGACCCGCCUUGCACGAGAACUUGGCACGGUUGUCCGAAGGUCCUAUGAUCAGCACCAGCUCCCGGGAGAAAGUGCUGCCAGACUUCUCCAGGCUGCCCAGCUGCACGCGCCGCGGCUCCUGGGGCUGCCUAGGCUCGCUCACCGUUCGUGCGUCCUGAGGACCCAAACAGGGUGGGUGGCCACCAGCCCAGACAGACAGGGCCCUUGUGUGAUAAAGGCGCCCUGAAGAGCCGGCACCCCACUGCCUUAAAGGAGUCGGGACUGGAAUUGAGUAGUCCCAGUCCUAGUCUUCCUGCCUGCCUUGAUGGUUUGGGGACCCUGAUGCCUAUUGUGCACCCCCCCCCCAGCCCUGACCUCACCAGCCCUCCGCCUGCGGCAGGCACCACACCCCCAAACCGUGAUAUUUACAGAACACUGCCUUCCAGGAAACUCCCUUGAAAUUCCCAGACCCGGUAUUGGAGUCUCAUUUUUCUUUGCCUCUGUUUUUUUUUUUUUUUUUUUUUGCCUUGUUUUACUUGAGACAGGAUCUCAUGUAGCCAAGAAUGACCCCAAAGUGAUUCCUUUAGGUACCUGAGGGUGAUCUUGAACUUCCGAUUCUCCUGCUUCCCCCUCCCAAGCGCUAGGAUUACAAGCGAGCCACCGCACCCACCAGUUUUUCUUUCUUUCUUUCUUUCUUUCUUUCCUUCUUUUCUUUCUUUUUUUGUUUGUUUGUUUUUUAGAGACAGGGUUUCUCUGCAUUG